rnacentral:rRNA from 1 species
UACGGAGGGUGCGAGCGUUGUCCGGAAUCAUUGGGCGUAAAGGGCGCGUAGGCGGCUUGGUAAGGUUGCGGUGAAAGCCCGGGGCUCAACCCCGGGUCGGCCGUGGCAACUGCUGAGCUGGAGCACUGUAGAGGCAGGUGGAAUUCCGGGUGUAGCGGUGGAAUGCGUAGAGAUCCGGAAGAACACCGGUGGCGAAGGCGGCCUGCUGGGCAGUGGCUGACGCUGAUGCGCGACAGCGUGGGGAGCAAACAGG